rnacentral:lncRNA from 1 species
CAGCGAAUUUAUCUUCAGCUUCUUCGGUGUGGGCGCCUGGUGCUUACGAUUUCGCAUCGAUUGUGACCUGACACCAGCCUCCCGAGGUCAAGUAUGGUAUUCCCCGAUUACAGGAAUAUUUUGAGAGGCCUGUAACCUUUGGCUGACACCCA